rnacentral:rRNA from 1 species
GACGAACGCUGGCGGCGUGCUUAACACAUGCAAGUCGAACGGUAAGGCCUUCGGGUACACGAGUGGCGAACGGGUGAGUAACACGUGGGUGAUCUGCCCCCUACUCUGGGAUAAGCCUGGGAAACUGGGUCUAAUACCGGAUAUGACCUCCGUCUGCAUGGUUGGGGGUGGAAAGUUUUUUCGGUAGGGGAUGAGCCCGCGGCCUAUCAGCUUGUUGGUGGGGUAAUGGCCUACCAAGGCGACGACGGGUAGCCGGCCUGAGAGGGCGACCGGCCACACUGGGACUGAGACACGGCCCAGACUCCUACGGGAGGCAGCAGUGGGGAAUAUUGCACAAUGGGCGAAAGCCUGAUGCAGCGACGCCGCGUGGGGGAUGACGGCCUUCGGGUUGUAAACCCCUUUCAGUCGGGACGAAGCGCAAGUGGCGGUACCGAUAGAAGAAGCACCGGCCAACUACGUGCCAGCAGCCGCAGUAACAC